UACGAGUGCCCCAAGCGUUAUCCGGAAUCAUUGGGCGUAAAGGGUGUGUAGGUGGUGUGAUUAGUCUUCUGUCAAAACUUCUGGCUCAACCAGAAAUCUGCAGAGGAAACGGUCAUACUCGAGGGUGCGAGAGGUGAAUGGAACUCAUGGAGUAGGGGUGAAAUCCGUUGAUAUCAUGGGGAACACCAAAAGCGAAGGCAAUUCACUGGCGCAUUCCUGACACUGAAACACGAAAGCGUGGGUAGCGAACGGG
rnacentral:rRNA from 1 species